rnacentral:rRNA from 1 species
GAUGAACGCUAGCGACAGGCCUAACACAUGCAAGUCGAGGGGCAGCACAAGGAGCAAUCUGAGGUGGCGACCGGCGCACGGGUGAGUAACACGUAUGCAACCUGCCUGUAAGCGGGGGAUAACCCGUUGAAAGACGGACUAAUACCGCAUAAUACUGGAGAUCUGCAUGGAUAUUCAGUUAACAUUUAUGGCUUACAGAUGGGCAUGCGCAUGAUUAGAUAGUUGGAGAGGUAACGGCUCCCCAAGUCAACGAUCAUUAGGGGUUCUGAGAGGAAGGUCCCCCACACUGGUACUGAGACACGGACCAGACUCCUACGGGAGGCAGCAGUGAGGAAUAUUGGUCAAUGGGCGAGAGCCUGAACCAGCCAAGUCGCGUGCAGGAAGAAUGUCCUA